CUUUCCACAGCCCAGUAAUUGGGGUUGGGGGGGGAGGGUAAUGCAAUCUCUUUUGUAGCGUGUAUGAAAACAAGGCAGCAAAGUGUUUCUUUUCUUACCUGGAAUGCCUGACAGGGUUGGGGCUGGAGGAGCUGCUACACCUAGAGUGAUGCUACUGAGAAGAGCAGAUAUAGGACAGCCAAGUGCUGGAGGAGGUUCCCAUGCAACACUUAAGGAUGUACCAGCCCUGCUGUUAUGGGUCAUGGGAGUGUGUGCUGCAAGGGCAGGUUUGUUCUCUUCUUGUACAGUAGCUUUUCAGGAGUCUGCAGUAGUUUCUAGGAUGGUCAGUUUUGGAUGUAUCAGUCUAACACAAGAGGAGCAGAGAAAAGAUUUUACUGAGGUGAUAAAAAUACUGAGUUUGUGGACGUCUUUAGUUUCUUUAUUAGUAGGUGAGAUGACAAUACAUGGUUCACAGAUCCAGUGUUAAGUAAUGCUGAGCAACC
rnacentral:lncRNA from 1 species